rnacentral:rRNA from 1 species
CCAGCACCCCGAGUGGUCGGGACGAUUAUUGGGCCUAAAGCAUCCGUAGCCGGUACUGCAAGUCUUCCGUUAAAUCCACCUGCUCAACAGUUGGGCUGCGGAGGAUACUACAGCGCUAGGAGGCGGGAGAGGCAAGCGGUACUCAUUGGGUAGGGGUAAAAUCCACUGAUCCAUUGAAGACCACCAGUGGCGAAGGCGGCUUGCCAGAACGCGCUCGACGGUGAGGGAUGAAAGCUGGGGGAGCAAACCGGAUUAGAUACCCGGGUAGUCCCAGCUGUAAACGAUGCAGACUCGGUGAUGGGCUGGCCUUGUGCCAACCCAGUGCCGCAGGGAAGCCGUUAAGUCUGCCGCCUGGGGAGUACGGUCGCAAGACUG